AAGAUCGUACUUCAGUGGAUCAUUCCUGUAGUACAUCUAGCUUCAACACCUGUCAAAAGGUUGAAUGGAUACAGCCAUGAUGACGAGUCAUGGCACCUUUUCCUGAGCGUGAGGAAGGCUCGAGAAGUUGACUUUGUUUCUACUUCUCAGUCAUCGAUGAUCGUUCACCUCUUGUACUCAGUACAUGAGGGAUGGGAAGGGUGCUUUCUGAGUGGU